AGGGCACUACCAGGAGUGGAUCCUGCGGCUCAAUUUGACUCAACACGGGAAAGCUCACCUGGUCCGGACACUGGAAGGAUUGACAGAUUAAGAGCUCUUUCUUGAUUCAGUGGGUGGUGGUGCAUGGCCGUUCUUAGUUGGUGGAGCGAUUUGUCUGGUUAAUUCCGAUAACGAACGAGACUCUAGCCUACUAAAUAGGUGUUCCGAUCCCACCAGUCGGACGCUCUUCUUAGAGGGACAAGCGGCGUUUAGCCGCACGAGACAGAGCAAUAACAGGUCUGUGAUGCCCUUAGAUGUCCGGGGCCGCACGCGCGCUACACUGAAGGAACCAGCGUGUGUCCCUGUCCGGCAGGACUGGGUAAUCCGUUGAACCUCCUUCGUGAUAGGGAUAGGGGCUUGUAAUUGUUCCCCUUGAACGAGGAAUUCCCAGUAAGCGUGAAUCAUCAGUUCACGUUGAUUACGUCCCUGGCCUUUGUACACACCGCCCGUCGCUACUACUGAAGGAUGAUUAAUGAAGUC
rnacentral:rRNA from 1 species